GAUUAACGCUGGCGGCGUGCAUAACACAUGCAAGUCGAACGAUGAAACUUUAAUGAACCCUUCGGGGAGAAUUAUAGCGGAUUAGUGGCGAACGGGUGAGUAACGCGUGAGUAACCUGCCUUACACAAGGGGAUAGCCUUUGGAAACGAAGAAUAAUACCCUAUAAAACCAUAAAAGCACAUGCAAUUAUGGUCAAAGUGAUAGCGGUGUAAGAUGGACUUGCGUCUGAUUAGCUAGUUGGUGAGAUAAAAGCCCACCAAGGCAACGAUCAGUAGCCGGCUUGAGAGAGUGUACGGCCACAUUGGGACUGAGACACGGCCCAGACUCCUACGGGAGGCAGCAGUGGGGAAUUUUGCACAAUGGGGGAAACCCUGAUGCAGCGACGCCGCGUGAUUUAGAAGGCCUUCGGGUUGUAAAAAUCUUUUGUAUAGGAAGAAAAUGACAGUACUAUACGAAUAAGGUCCGGCUAAUUACGUG
rnacentral:rRNA from 1 species